UGUUUGUUUCUUAUAAACAAGCAGUACCUAAACACUCAUUAUCUAACUUCUCUCAUUCACACAACCCGAAAACGCAAUUUCCUUUCUCAUUUCUUCAACCCCUAAAGUCUAUUUCCUCUUCCAAAAUUAACCAGAAAUCUCCAGUCAAUAUAGCUAUUUGUCCAGAGAAUCAGAUUACUGAUACUUAUUAACAUCGGUCCGAUGAAGAGCUGCUGAAGGAGGAUUAGAUCCCUAGAGAUGCGUACUUAUAAACUGGCAACUGGAGGUCGACUGUAUUCUGUAAAUGUUGUAGCAGAAUUUGUUGACAUGGCUUAUAGGGUAGUGGCUUACCAUAUAAGGUUGCUGAUCGAAGCUUCAAAAAUCAAAAGUAAUUUCAAGUAAGACUCAUCAAGGUCCAUCAUUUUGCUCAAGCCCGAGCUCCUUCUCGUCUAGUAGCUAGUAGCACAUAGGCGGAACGAUGGCUGUUCCAGAUUCCAAGAAACUGAUGAAGUAAAGGAGAAGUUUUCAAAUACAAACUCCACUUCAUCAAUCCAAAUCAGAACUUAGCUGAAUGGAGGAGGCUCAGGUCUCCUUGACAUUUUGUACGUGAGUGAGCCUUCUAAUCUCUGGCCAAGUAAUUCAAGCCAAAGCCUCCGAUAGAGACAAAGAGGGCCUCGAGGAAGGUGGGAUGAGCACAAUGGUAUUAUCUGCCUAACCCACGGUCAGAACUUUCAACUUUGCAUUGGAUGAGUUUUUCUUUUGCCAAGAAGUCUGUAAAUGGCUAGACGGAGAUAUGGGAACAUAGGGCUGAACUUAUGUGCAAUAUAAUUCUACAGCUUGUACGAACAAGAGAGCGUACCCUUGGGAUGGCCUGCAGGAGUCUGACUCUGUUCCCGAAGCUGUUGAAUUGUUAGCAAGAGAAAUCAUUGAGGUUGAUGUGUCGGUAUUUGGAACUGCUGUCUGAAAAUUAAUUCUUUUGUUUCAGUGCAAGAGACCGAGAUGGAUAGAGCAAAGGAGGCAACCGGAUCUGCAGUCCUGACUAAACUAGAAUCACGAGAAUGAGGGUGGCAUCUUUCCAGAAUCGAUCUACAACAACUAGAAUAGACCCUCCCGGCUAGCCAGAGACACAAUACCAGGAUCAGAGACUCUUCCAGGCUCUCGAAGGAAUGCAUUGACAAUUGCAUCAGAGGAUUCAGGGUGUCAAAUAUCGACGCAAGAAAAGGAGAGAGGCAAGGACUUGAUACUUUUGUGCACUACUAAUCUUUGUUGUGCUGGCUCUUUUGUGCAAACUCUCUGGAAUCAUUAGAAGACCUUGAUUUUUAUUCAGAAGAUUUUAUUUAGGGGAAUGGUAAUUCUUAAUUGCAAUCCUCUUUAGAAAAAUUAAUGAAUGCAACAGAUGCAAUUAACAUGGAGGAUGUCGUAAAUCCACGAACCUGGGCUACAAGUUUUAUGCUAAUUUACUUUUGAAGUCUUAUUCUUUAC